rnacentral:rRNA from 1 species
GAUUCAUAGUAACCGAACGGAUCGCAGUUGGCUUCGGCCCGCGAUGGAUCUUUCAAGUUUCUGAUUUAUCAGCUUUCGACGGUAGGGUAUUGGCCUACCGUGGCAGUGACGGGUAACGGGGAAUUAGGGUUCGAUUCCGGAGAGGGAGCCUGAGAAACGGCUACCACAUCUAAGGAAGGCAGCAGGCGCGCAAAUUACCCAAUGAAAACAGUUUCGAGGUAGUGACGAGAAAUAACAAUACAGGGCAUUUUAUGCUCUGUAAUUGGAAUGAUGGGAAUCCAAAACCCUUUCAGAGUAACAAUUGGAGGGCAAUUUUGGUGCCAGCAGCCGCGGUAAUUCCAGCUCCAAUAGUGUAUAUUAGAGUUGUUGC